rnacentral:rRNA from 1 species
GCUCAGGACGAACGCUGGCGGCAUGCCUAACACAUGCAAGUCGAACGAGAAAGUUCCUUCGGGAGCGAUUAAAGUGGCGCACGGGUGAGUAACGCGUAGACAAUCUGCCCUUCAGUCUGGGACAACUUUUCGAAAGGAGAGCUAAUACCGGAUAACAAUGUUUAACCUAAGUUAAGUAUUUGAAAGCUUUAUGUGCUGAAGGAGGGGUCUGCGUCCCAUUAGCUAGUUGGUAAGGUAAAGGCUUACCAAGGCGACGAUGGGUAGCGGGUUUGAGAGGACGAUCCGCCACACUGGAACUGAGACACGGUCCAGACUCCUACGGGAGGCAGCAGUGGGGAAUAUUGCACAAUGGAGGCAACUCUGAUGCAGCAAUGUCGCGUGAGUGAAGAAGGCCCUUGGGUCGUAAAGCUCUUUUAUGGGGGAAGAUGAUGACGGUACCCCAAGAAUAAGCACCGGCUAACUAUGUGCCAGCAGCCGCGGUAAUACAUAGGGUGCGAGCGUUGUUCGGAAUUACUGGGCGUAAAGGGCGCGCAGGCGGAAUAGUAAGUCGGAGGUGAAAGCCCGGGGCUCAACCCCGGAGGGUCUUUCGAAACUGCUAAUCUAGAGAGGGUCAGGGGCCGGCAGAAUUCCUGGUGUAGAGGUGAAAUUCGUAGAUAUCAGGAGGAAUACCGGUGGCGAAGGCGGCCGGCUGGGGCCACUCUGACGCUGAGGCGCGAAAGCGUGGGGAGCAAACAGGAUUAGAUACCCUGGUAGUCCACGCCGUAAACGAUGAGCACUGGACGUCCGGAGGGUUCGACCCUUCUGGGUGUUUCAGCUAACGCAUUAAGUGCUCCGCCUGGGGAGUACGGUCGCAAGACUAAAACU